UUAUAGCUAAAUUAGACAACACCCACGUCUUUUAUACAUCUCAGACAUCAUUCUAUAUUUCAUCGGA
rnacentral:tRNA from 11 species